rnacentral:rRNA from 1 species
AUUGAACGCUGGCGGCAUGCCUAACACAUGCAAGUCGAACGAGUGGCGGACGGGUGAAUAAUUUCUGAGCAACUGCCCGACGGAGGGGGAUAACUACUGGAAACGGUAGCUAAUACCGCAUACCAUCGGAUGUGCCCAGAUGGGAUGAGCUAGUAGGUGGGGUAACGGCUCACCAAGGCGACGAUCCCUAGCUGGUAUGAGAGGAUGAACAGCCACACUGGAACUGAGACACGGUCCAGACUCCUACGGGAGGCAGCAGUGGGGAAUAGUGGACAAUGGGCGCAAGCCUGAUGCAGCCAUGCCGCGUGUAUUAAGAAGGCCUUCGGGUUGUAAAGUACUUUCAGCGAGGAGGCGUUACUCGCAGAAGAAGCACCGGCUAACUCCGUGCCAGCAGCCGCGGUAAUUC